UCUAAUAUGGCAGAUUAGUGCAAUGGAUUUAAACCCCAUAUAUAAAGAAAGCCUUUUUUUAGAA
rnacentral:tRNA from 1 species